ensembl:lncRNA
CACAAACUUGUUCCUUUGCUAUGUAGUUGCCUUUUCUUCAACAUAAAAAGGAUGACCAGGUUAUCUGAUCCUUCUGCUCAGCCAAAGUCACUCAUGAAAAAUGUGGAAAGCAGUGGAAAGUGCUUAAAGAAUAAGAAAAUGUAGAACAUCAACAAAAGUUCAGCUGGACUGCAGAGAUCUUCAACUAGCAGGUGAAUUUUUGUAGUUGCAACAUAACAACCCUAAAGAAGGUAAGUGCUACUGUGAAGACAUAGCUACAGACUGAAGCGAAGGUUUCACACCAACAAUCUGCUCAUUGACGUGAGUAGAGUGCCUAGAGACUCACUGUGAUCAGAGAAGGGAUCUGGUCUGGGACUCAUCCUUCUUAUGUGCCUGGCC